UGAUGUAUAAUUUGCAUGUUAUGUACCUGGUAAUAUGGAGAAAUGAGCUAGUAAAUAUAUCCUUGCCUAUAAUUAGUUGCUGAUUAAAUGUUCAAAGAUACACAGUGUGAAGCAUGAAAAACAAAUGGAAGAUACCCACUGCAAGAAAUUUUCAACAAAUAUAUAUGGAUUUGUUCACUUCAUUUCUUACUUUCGACACAAGUAAUUAUGGUAAUUAUAAUUACAAACAGAAUGUACUGUCAUUUAAAUACUUUAUAUGUGCUCCAUCUAUAUAUGUUAAUGUAAUAUAAUAUAAAAAAUAAUGUGUUUAUUGUUAAAAUAUGGGAUAUAUAAUACCGUAAACCUCUGACUAUAAGCCCUGGGCUUAUAUUCUUUUGUAAGUGAUUUUUGAUGGGCUUAGGGGGGGGGGGCUUAUAUGCACAGGGGCCUUAUACAUGGACGAUCAAUUGUGUUAGUAAUAAACAAGUCAGUCAUAAACAGGAAAAUAAACAUGUAUUAAUAACACACUCCAUUAACAUAGUAAGCUAUAAAGACAAUGACAUGAGUGUUUCAAAUAUCGUUCUCUGUUAUAUUAAAAGACAAUGUCAAUGUUAAAUAACAUAGUGGGAUACUGGGCUUAUAUUCAGGGGGCUUAUAUUCAGGGGGCUUAUAUUCAGGGGACUUAUAUUCAGGGGAGCUUAUAUUGGGGGGGGGGGGCUUAUAUUUGGAAUGAGGUGAGUAUUAUAUUCAGAGGUUUACAGUAUACAGUUCAAAAAAGCUUGUAUUUUCUUGUCACAGACACAGAUUUCUGGGUGCAUAUAGAACAGCUUAUACGUCAGGUUCUCAUGUGGAUCCAAUGGUAAUUUGAUAUCGCUGCAUCACCAUAAUAUAGUGUAGCACAGAAUGGCCUUGUAUCAUACUUUAACAUCAUGCAUGCGCCUUGGUCAUUCAUGUGGAGAUAUUACUAUCACGAUAGAAUUAGUUACGCCAAGUAACACGUCGUACACGUCAGGUAGCAGCUGAAAUAUUUUAAUAUUUGCCAUAAUAAGCCCAUAACCUGUUGGAAAACAACCAAAACAUCUUCACCAUUUUACAUUAUGUCCGAGAUACAUUUGAAUGUCUCGUCUUUUAACGAAUAUUCAAGCCCUCUUUUCGCUAGAACAACUUUCAUAGCUCUUUCAGUAUUUGCCAUUGAAUAUAAUUUAAUAGUAGUACGAUUUAAAGCACCUUUAAACGUAUAAAAACCCAUUUUGUAUACUAUAUUCUGAUGAGAAUCUUUGUUUAAAACAAUAUGAUUGUGAACGUGUGCCCGCGCGAAUUUAGUAAGCGGAAUAAACAAAAGCAAUAAAAGCGCAUGCGCCAUUUAUCUCAUUUUGGAUAAAAAAAUUCGAUUUCCCCAGAGUCAUGCCACAA